GGGUAUAGCUCUAGUGGUAGAGCACAUGCUUAGCACGCACGAGGUCCUGGGUUCAAUCCCCAGUACCUCCA
rnacentral:tRNA from 1 species